GGCCAGCAGCCGCGGUAAUACGUAGGGAGCAAGCGUUAUCCGGAUUUAUUGGGUGUAAAGGGUGCGUAGGCGGGAAGGCAAGUUGAAUGUGAAAUACCGGGGCUCAACUCCGGGGCUGCGUUCAAAACUGCUUUUCUUGAGUACAGCAGAGGCAAGCGGAAUUCCCAGUGUAGCGGUAAUAUGCGUAGAUAUUGGGAGGAACACCGGUGGCGAAGGCGGCUUGCUGGGCUGCAACUGACGCUGAAGCACGAAAGUGUGGGGAGCAAACAGGAUUAGAUACCCUGGUAGUCCACACUGUAAACGAUGAUUACUAGGUGUGGGGAGAUUGACCCUCUCCGUGCCGCAGUUAACACAAUAAGUAAUCCACCUGAGUAGUACGGCCGCAAGGUUGAAACUCAAAGGAAUUGACGGGGGCCCGCACAAGC
rnacentral:rRNA from 1 species